UUAGGGAGCAGUAAAUCUUAUCACUGAAUCAUUAAGUAUUCUUGGAAGACUAUCUAAAGAUGUCAGAAGGGUGCAGCUGGGUGUGUUCCUGGGUGUGGGUCCUGAUGAAUGCGCAGGGAGAGGAUGCGCUGGCAGGCGCUGUGCAUCAGCAGAAGCAUGGAGCGUGGCAGAGCCAGGUCCGGGCAUUGCAGCCCUGACCACCGUUCCCAGGAGAAGCCCCACUCCGCAUUUCUGUGGGGGCUGAAGGAGAGGCUUGGGAUGGGAACCACCUGGGUAACCGAGGCGACGGAGGCCCUCCUCCCAGGCUCUUCAUUUGGAGCCUAGUUCACACCACGCAUCCGGUAAACCCUGAUGCUCAGGGACUCUUGAGCCCUCUGUGGCUCCCUCGCCCUUCAGUGUCACAGGGCAACGGAGCCUUGCCCAGUAGCCGGGCAGGGUCAGAUGAAGGUCUCUGCUUGAAAGGCCGGAGAGGAGGGACCUCCGCAGGCCAGAUCGCAGGAAUGGACGGCGCAUGCUCCAGAGGGGAUGCUUGGCCGGAUGAUGCGGGGCAAGGGUUCGGGGGAGGCAGCCAUCCAGGCGUCCGGCGCGUGAAACUCUGGAGCGUUUAUCCCACCUACGUCUCAGGGCUAAGCAGAGAGAUAAAUACAGACUUCGAAAAGAAAGACAGACUUUUAUAGCAGCUGCAUAUAAAAAACGAAAUCAUUUCAUACAUGCUGAACAUAAAGGAGGUAGCCUACAAAGGUCUGGUGUUAAGAUAUUUGGAUUGGAGCUUUAUGUCUUUUAACAAGUGUUUAGUGGGACUUCCCUGGCGGCUCCGUGGUUAGGACUGCACCUUCUAAUGCCGGGGGUGUGCGUUCCAUCCCUGGUUGGGGAAUUCUGAUCCCACA
ensembl:lncRNA